CCUACGGGAGGCAGCAGUGAGGAAUAUUGGUCAAUGGGCGAGAGCCUGAACCAGCCAAGUCGCGUGAGGGAGUACUGCCCUAUGGGUUGUAAACCUCUUUUGUCGGGGAGCAACAGCCGGACGUGUCCGGCUGUGAGAGUACCCGAAGAAAAAGCAUCGGCUAACUCCGUGCCAGCAGCCGCGGUAAUACGGAGGGUGCGAGCGUUAUCCGGAUUUAUUGGGGUUAAAGGGUGCGCAGGCGGAUUUUUAAGUCAGCGGUCAAAUCGUGGGGCUCAACCCCAUCCAGCCGUUGAAACUGGGGAUCUAGAGUGUGCGAGAGGUAUGCGGAAUGCGUGGUGUAGCGGUGAAAUGCAUAGAUAUCACGCAGAACCCCGAUUGCGAAGGCAGCAUACCGGUGCACAACUGACGCUCAGGCACGAAAGCGUGGGUAUCGAACAGGAUUAGAUACCCCGGUAGUC
rnacentral:rRNA from 1 species